GUAUCAGCAUCAAACUGUGGUCUGAGUAUGCAGAGUAGCGGAAUCCGUGUAGCGUGAAUGCGUAGAUAUCGGGAGGACNCAGUGGCGAAGCGGCCUACUGGGCAUCACUGACGCUGAGGCUCGAAAGCAUGGGUAGCAAACAGGAUUAGAUACCCUGGUAGUCCAUGCUGUAAACGAUGAUUACUAGGUGUGGGAAGAUUGACCCUUUCCGUGCCGCAGUUAACACAAUAAGUAAUCCACCUGGGGAGUACGACCGCAAGGUUGAAACUCAAAGGAAUUGACGGGGGCCCGCACAAGCAGUGGAGUAUGUGGUUUAAUUCGAAGCAACGCGAAGAACCUUACCAGGUCUUGACAUCCAACGACCGCCUAAGAGAUUAGGCUUUCCUUCGGGACGUUGAGACAGGUGGUGCAUGGUUGUCGUCAGCUCGUGUCGUGAGAUGUUGGGUUAAGUCCCGCAACGAGCGCAACCCUUAUUACUAGUUACUACGCAAGAGGACUCUAGUGAGACUGCCGUUGACAAAACGGAGGAAGGUGGGGAUGACGUCAAAUCAUCAUGCCCUUUAUGACCUGGGCUACACACGUACUACAAUGGCUAUUAACAGAGAGAAGCGAGACCGCAAGGUGGAGCAAACCUCAGAAAAAUAGUCUCAGUCCGGAUUGGGGGCUGCAACCCGCCCCCAUGAAGCCGGAAUUGCUAGUAAUCGCGGAUCAGCAUGCCGCGGUGAAUACGUUCCCGGGCCUUGUACACACCGCCCGUCACACCAUGAGAGCCGGGGGGACCCGAAGUCGGUAGUCUAACCGCAAGGAGGACGCCGCCGAAGGUAAAACUGGUGAUUGGGGUGAAGUCGUAACAAGGUAACCGUAAAGGGCGAAUUCGGAGCCUGCUUUUUGUACAAAGUGCAUAA
rnacentral:rRNA from 1 species